rnacentral:rRNA from 1 species
AACCGAGUCUUAACCGGGCGUUAAGUUGCAGGGUAUAGACCCGAAACCCGGUGAUCUAGCCAUGGGCAGGUUGAAGGUUGGGUAACACUAACUGGAGGACCGAACCGACUAAUGUUGAAAAAUUAGCGGAUGACCUGUGGCUGGGGGUGAAAGGCCAAUCAAACCGGGAGAUAGCUGGUUCUCCCCGAAAGCUAUUUAGGUAGCGCCUCGUGAAUUCAUCUCCGGGGGUAGAGCACUGUUUCGGCUAGGGGGCCAUCCCGGCUUACCAACCCGAUGCAAACUGCGAAUACCGGAGAAUGUUAUCACGGGAGACACACGGCGGGUGCUAACGUCCGUCGUGAAGAGGGAAACAACCCAGACCGCCAGCUAAGGUCCCAAAGUCAUGGUUAAGUGGGAAACGAUGUGGGAAGGCCCAGACAGCCAGGAUGUUGGCUUAGAAGCAGCCAUCAUUUAAAGAAAGCGUAAUAGCUCACUGGUCGAGUCGGCCUGCGCGGAAGAUGUAACGGGGCUAAACCAUGCACCGAAGCUGCGGCAGCGACGCUUAUGCGUUGUUGGGUAGGGGAGCGUUCUGUAAGCCUGUGAAGGUGUGUCGUGAGGCAUGCUGGAGGUAU